AAGAUGUUUGUUUAGGAAUUACUACUGUUUUGUUUAUCUGGAAUGUUGUGUAGGAGUCCAUCAGGAAUUGCUGGUCUGCAGUAAAUUUGUCAGGCUAGGUGAUGAAGAUUAAUGAAUCAGAAAAUGUUUUGCAUGGGUGGUGAAUGUUCUGACAGUUUUAACAGUUGUGAUGUGGUGUGUUUCACUUCCACGCAUCAUGUAGAAGUUGGUGACCUGAAACAAUGAACAUGGAAAAAUCACCUGUGCCCACGCUGACGAUGAUACCUGUACUGAAGUGCUGGAAACAAAAAUUAAUUUUCUUUACGCUUUGGUUUCACGCUAUCUUUAUAAUUUUGUAAUAGUUUUGCGUUUAUUGAUGAGUCCGCAACCUCUUAGCUGUUUUCCUCCUUUAGAUACCGCCUGUCGACGAUUUGACAGCCUCACACAAUUAAAGAUCGUAUGCCAAAAAGUAAUAGAUCCGAUCUAAUGUAUGCAAUGUAUACUAAUUACACCAUUCAAAACAAUAUUCCAGGCUAAAGUGAGCUCUUCCGAGCAGAAAAGUGACGGCGUAUCCAUUUAAUUGAAAAUAGGCACAAGAUAACGCACAAUUGGCGUCCUUGUCACAAUGGAGAAAUUUUUCCGUGGAACUUAUUAUCGAAAAACCAUUGCAGCUGUUAAAAAAAAGAAAAUUGUAUUAUCAUACAGAUGUUGACUAGCUAACAAUCUAGAGAUAUGUCAACGUGCGAAAUUUUUAGAUGUGAGUGAAACGCAAUC